rnacentral:miRNA from 1 species
GUGUGCGCAUGCGCAUGUGCACACAUACACGUGUGCAUGCAUACACACACACACACACACACACACACACACACACGCAC